CAGCAGCGCNCCACUUUCCCAAAAAACCCCUCAGAAUUUCAAAAUUCUAUUUCUCAAAUUCCCGAGCUCCAUCGACUCGAAAUUAGGGACCAGAGUUUUACAAUGCUCCGCCGGCCGGAGAGGGCUUUUCUCGCCGAAACCCUGAUCCUUCUCCUCUUAAUUCUAUCCUCGCUCGCUCAAAACCCUAGAGUCGUCGAAAGAUCCGCCCUUUCCCGGUUCAAGACCUCGUUAUCGGAUCCUGCUGGUCUUCUCUCUCGCUGGUCCGGGCCUGACAAGUGCUCCUGGCCCGGAGUCACGUGCGACUCGCUAUACAGGGUCGUCGUCGUCAACAUCGCCGCCGGAGGUAACCUCAAGCUCGCCGGUGAGCUCACUGCGGAGAUAGGUAACUUGACUGAGCUUAAGGUUCUGUCGAUCCCUUUCCAUUCGCUCUCCGGAGAGAUCCCCGAUGAGCUGUGGAGGCUCGAGAAGCUCGAAGUCUUGAAUCUUGAAGGGAAUUUGUUAUCUGGUUACCUGCCCUUGAGAUUCAUGCCGCAGGGGCUUAGGGUUUUGAAUUUGAGGUCAAAUCGGGUCUCAGGUGAUAUCCCUCACUCUCUUUCUACUUGCCUAAAUUUGGAAAGUUUGGAUCUUUCGAACAAUAAGUUCAAUGGCUCGGUUCCUGGAUUCUUUGGUAGUUUGCCCAAGUUAAAAACCCUAAAUCUCUCUUUUAAUCAGUUUACUGGUUCUAUUCCGAAUGAAAUUGGAGCUGGGUGUGAAAGCUUAGAGUAUCUUGAUCUCUCUCGAAAUUUUCUGCUUGGGGGCAUUCCUCGUAGUUUGGGGAACUGCAGCGUGAUUCGAAGUUUGAUGUUGUUUUCCAAUUUGUUAGAUGAUGCGAUCCCAUCUGAGCUUGGGAAGCUGAGAAAGAUUCAAGCUUUAGACGUUUCAAGGAACAGUUUGAGUGGAAUUCUACCUUCAGAGUUGGGAAAUUGUCAAGAGCUUUCUGUUAUUGUUCUUUCCCAUCCUUAUGAUCCUAUGCUUCCUUUGAAGGAUUCAGACUACAAUGGUUUUGAUGAUUGCAACUAUUUUCAAGGUGGGAUUCCUGAAAAUAUCACUAGCUUGCCGAAACUUAGGGUUUUAUGGGCUCCACGAGCGACACUGGAAGGGGAGAUUCCAAGCAACUGGGGAAACUGCAAAAGCUUGGAGAUGGUUAAUUUAGGUGAAAAUCUCUUCACUGGUGGGGUUCCAAAAACAUUUGGGCAAUGCAAUAAUCUAAAAUUUCUAAAUCUAAGCUCCAGCAAGUUGAGGGGUGGGAUCAGUGGGGAACUUUGUGUGCCUUGUAUGAGUGUUUUUGAUGUUAGCGGUAAUCAGUUGUCGGGUGUCAUUCCUAAGUUUACACAUGAAUCAUGUCCUCCAUCUCAAUUAUUGGCAGAUGACCUACCUUUUGACUAUCACUUGCUUUUCAGAUAUAGUACUCUUUCUGGAAUCUCCUUGCCUUUUUUUGAUUCAGGUGGUGCUUCUGUGAUUUAUCAUAAUUUUGGCUGGAAUAAUUUUACGGGCGCUUUGACGUCAUUGCCUAUAUCAGCUGAAACAUUGGGUAAGGGAACUGUGUAUGCUUUUCUUGUUGACGGGAACCAAUUCGUGGGUCCAUUAGCAGAUGGUCUGUUUGAGAAAUGCAGAUAUUUGAAAGGGUUGAUUAUCGACUUUAGCAACAACUAUGUUUCUGGCUCGAUCCCGGCAGGCAUUGGUAACAUGUGCAAAUCCCUGUUGGUUUUUGAUGCUGCUGGUAAUAGAAUAACAGGAGUGAUUCCACAAAGUUUUGGAGAAUUAGGGAGUCUUUUUGAGCUUGAUUUGAGCAGGAACCGACUUCAAGGCGAGAUCCCUCUUAGUUUUAUGAAUUUAAAGGGUUUGAAUUAUCUCUCAUUAGCCACCAACAACCUAAGUGGUUCUAUUCCUGUAGCUUUUGAGCAGUUGUAUUCUCUUAAAAGAUUGGAUCUUUCUUCAAACGCACUAUCAGGUAAGAUCCCAGACGGCCUUGUGAAUCUUAAAAACCUCGUGGCUCUUUUUCUUGAUGACAACAAUCUCUCUGGAAAGAUACCGUCUGGUUUUGCUAAGGUGGCAUCUCUAUCUGUGUUCAAUGUGUCAUUCAAUAAUUUGUCUGGAACAUUGCCUUCAAACAGCAGCACGAUGAGAUGUGACACUGUUCUUGGGAACCCCCUACUUCAACCUUGCCAUGCAUAUUCUCUGUCCACUUCAGCAUCUAAUCAGCAAGGGUUUAGUGGAAGUUCACAAACUUUUGCUGAUACACCUUCUGGGAGUGCAACUAGCAGCAGCGACAGCAGUGGGUUCAGUUCCAUCGAGAUUGCUUCAAUAGCUUCAGCAUCUGCCAUAGUUUCAGUAUUGUUGGCCCUUAUUGUCCUCUAUGUAUAUACAAGAAAAUGUGCUCCAAGGUCUUCAAUUCGAUCACCUGGAAGGAGAGAAGUAAUAGUUUUCACGGACAUUGGUGUCCCUAUUACGUAUGAGAGUGUUGUGAGAGCAACAGGGGGUUUUAAUGCAAGCAACUGCAUUGGAAAUGGAGGCUUUGGAGCAACUUACAAGGCUGAGAUAUCCCCAGGGGUGGUUGUCGCUAUAAAGAGACUUUCUGUAGGCCGAUUCCAAGGUGUUCAACAGUUCCAUGCGGAGAUUAAGACACUUGGGAGAUGGCGCCACCCAAAUCUUGUGACUCUGAUAGGAUAUCAUGUUAGCGAAUCGGAGAUGUUUCUUAUAUAUAACUACUUGCCAAGUGGUAACCUAGAAAGGUUCAUACAAGAAAGAUCUAAACGAGCUGUAGAUUGGAGGAUGCUGCACAAGAUUGCUUUGGAUGUUGCACGUGCGCUUGCUUAUCUACAUGACCAUUGUGUGCCUCGCAUCCUUCAUCGGGAUGUCAAACCUAGCAAUAUCUUGUUGGACAAAGAUUUCAAUGCAUAUCUGUCUGACUUUGGAUUAGCUAGGCUUUUAGGAAAUUCUGAGACCCAUGCAACUACUGGGGUUGCUGGGACAUUUGGGUAUGUUGCUCCAGAGUAUGCUAUGACAUGUCGCGUCUCUGAUAAGGCUGAUGUGUACAGCUAUGGUGUAGUACUUCUAGAGUUGAUCUCGGAUAAGAAGGCCUUGGAUCCAUCUUUCUCCCCAUAUGUAGAUGGUUUCAAUAUUGUAACUUGGGCUUGCAUGCUUCUUCGUCAGGGAAAGGCACGUGAUUUCUUCACUGAGGGGUUAUGGGAUGUGGCUCCCCAUGACGAUUUGGUGGAGAUCUUGCACUUGGCUGUCAUGUGCACUGUUGAUUCGUUAUCUAUCAGACCCACAAUGAAGCAUGUUGUUCAACGGCUAAAGCAACUUCAGCCACCAACAUGCUAGCAUACAUAAAUUAUUGAAAAGGUGCUUGGGUACUCCAUAGGAUGCAUGUAUGCUUGGUGCAGUACUCGCACCCACGUGUGCGUGAUGGAGUCAGAAAAAAUACAUAAAGUUUCUAAUUAUGGGGGAAAUGAUUUAUACACUGAAGUAUUGUGGGCAUCUUCAAUGCAGUGCAUCAAAAUCCUGCAUGUUCCAGAGGAGACAGCGUAUCUUAGGAAAAAUUCUUCCAUACGCUAAGAAAUGAGCGCACUCUACUUCCCUCACUACGUGACAAUUUGGAAGUGCUUGAUAACUUGCAUUUGCUUCGGCACAAAUCAACCCAUGUUUAUUUAAGAUUCUGCAUUGUGCCUAACAGUUAAGCCAUGGAAUGCGAAUGCAUGUGAUUUGGCGCUAAAAAUUUCGGCCACUUCAUCUUUUUGCAAUUGAAACUUCUAAUGUUUUGCUUCCUCUUUUGAGAUCAGAUCGUAUCCUGGGAAAUAUCAAAUUCUCCUGACUUUCACAGUGAACUGAUUUUUUAUCUCUGGAUAGAUACCAACAGUUCUGGGUGCAGCAAGUGCAAUCGAGAUGUACUCAUCAAAGUUUCUUCAGGGAGCUCACCAUUUGAUCCUCGAUGAGCGAGGUUAUACGGACGAUAGGUCUGCAAUGGCUGCUUCUCUUUUGCAGACUU